rnacentral:misc_RNA from 1 species
GAUGAAUAACGCAGCGAAAUGCGAUACGUAGUGUGAAUUGCAGAAUUCAGUGAAUCAUCGAAUCUUUGAACGCACAUUGCACCUCUCGGUAUUCCGGGAGGUAUGCCUGUUCGAGCGUCAUUUGUACCCUCAAGCUCUGCUUGGUGUUGGGUGUUUGUUCCGCCUCUGUGUGUGAACUCGCCUCAAAACAAUUGGCAGCCGGCGUACUUGUUUCGGAGCGCAGCACAUUUUGCGAUCCAGAUCAACGUACAGCGGCAUCCAAGAAGCCUUAUUUAACUCUCUUGACCUCGGAUCAGGUAGGGAUACCCGCUGAACUUAAGCAUAUCAAUAAGCGGAGGA